GCCGGUGUGGCUCAGUGGUUAGAGUGUCGGCCUGCACACUGGAGGGUUAUGGGUUCGAUUCCCGGUCAAGGGCA
rnacentral:tRNA from 1 species